rnacentral:rRNA from 1 species
UGCCAGCCGCCGCGGUAAUACGAAGGGGACUAGCGUUGUUCGGAAUUACUGGGCGUAAAGCGCGUGUAGGCGGAUCAAUUAGUCAGGGGUGAAAUCCCGGGGCUCAACCCCGGAACUGCCUUUGAUACUGUUGGUCUAGAGACCGGUAGAGGUGAGUGGAAUUCCGAGUGUAGAGGUGAAAUUCGUAGAUAUUCGGAGGAACACCAGUGGCGAAGGCGGCUCACUGGACCGGUACUGACGCUGAGACGCGAAAGUGUGGGGAGCAAACAGGAUUAGAUA